CGCACAUUGCGCCCUUUGGUAUUCCUUAGGGCAUGCCUGUUCGAGCGUCAUCAAAACCCUCAAGCACUGCUUGGUGUUGGGCGUCUGUCCGGCCUGGAAGUGGUGCGGACUCGCCUAGAACGAAUUGGCGGCCUCCCUGUCCGGCUAUCGAGCGCAGCACACACGCGACUCUCAGCCCGGCGGGUAGGCGACCAGGAAGCGAACAAAUCACAGUUUUGACCUCGGAUCAGGUAGGGAUACCCGCUGAACUUAA
rnacentral:misc_RNA from 1 species